UAUCUCUUAACAGAAAACAGUGUGCAACAGCUUUGUUGUCAGCUGACAUUGCUACAACAGGAAAUAUUUCAUAAAUGCCAUCCAGUACACUUUCUAAAUUCAAGAGCACUUGGUGUUAAAGACAAAUGUGUGGCUUCCCAAAAAGCUGUUUCGACUGAGGCAGUUUCACUUAAAGUCUGUAAUUUGUUUCUGUCAAAGUGUGUACAAGACCAGUAUCUUCUACAGUUAUUAAGAAAUGCAGACAGUAUCAGUACCUGGGUUGCUGCUGAAAUUGUAACGUGUCACACUUCAAAGCUGCAGGUGAGCUUGUUAUCAAAAUUUCUUCUUAUAGCAAAAUCCUGCUAUGAACAAAGAAAUUUUGCCACUGCGAUGCAAAUCUUAGCAGGCUUGGAAAAUCUUAUUGUUCGACAGUUACCAGCAUGGAAAAUUUUACCUGCAAAAGUAGCUGAAAUAAUGGAAGAACUCAAGGCUGUUGAGGUGUUUUUAAAAAAGUGACAGCUUAUGUUUGAUGGAAGGAGAAAGGUUCAAAACACAUCCAACAAUUCCAUCAGCCCAUGUUUUGGCUAUGCGUGUCCAACAGCUUGAAACUGGAGGAUUCACGAUGACAAAUGGAGCUCACAAGUGGACUAAACUUAGAAAUAUUGCAAAAGUUGUGAGCCAAGUUCAUGCAUUUCAAGAGAAUCCCUAUACAUUUACACCAGAUUUCAAGCUGCAGUCUUACCUCAGACAAAGAAUAACUCGUUUUAAAGAUGCAGACAUUUCUGCCUUGGCAGCUGACAACUGUGCCAACUUCCAUCAGAUACCAGCAGAAAAGCAUUCUCGAAAAAUUCAAGACACACUGCGCAGGAUGAAGGCAACAUUUCAGUAAUUAUUUGCAUUUUAUCUGUUCUAUGCCAAGUGUAAAACUGCAUUAAGUUGACUACGUCUCCUGGACCAAUUCCCAAGCAAAUAGUUAAGUGAAGUGAAUUUCAACAUACUAUCUC